AAAACUUUUUCGAAAGGAAAAUAAUCUGUUCUUAUCAGUUUAAGAUCUGAUACGUCCCCCAUCCGGGGACUACAUAUUAAAUGGAUUUUUAGAUCACGGAGCUGGAGCCGGGGCUUGCUCCGUCCACUCCAUGCAUCGGCCUGGUAUUGCAGUGUCUCCAGUGUCCCUUUUUGCAUA
rnacentral:snRNA from 1 species